rnacentral:rRNA from 1 species
AUUGAACGCUGGCGGAAUGCUUUACACAUGCAAGUCGAACGGCAGCACGGACUUCGGUCUGGUGGCGAGUGGCGAACGGGUGAGUAAUGUAUCGGAACGUGCCCAGUCGUGGGGGAUAACGUAGUGAAAAUUACGCUAAUACAGCAUACGAUCUAUGGAUGAAAGCGGGGGAUCGCAAGACCUCGCGCGAUUGGAGCGGGCGAUAUCAGAUUAGGUAGUUGGUGGGGUAAAGGCCCACCAAGCCAACGAUCUGUAGCUGGUCUGAGAGGACGACCAGCCACACUGGAACUGAGACACGGUCCAGACUCCUACGGGAGGCAGCAGUGGGGAAUUUUGGACAAUGGGCGAAAGCCUGAUCCAGCCAUUCCGCGUGCAGGAUGAAGGCCCUCGGGUUGUAAACUGCUUUUGUACAGAACGAAAAGGUUUCUACUAAUACUAGGAGCUCAUGACGGUACUGUAAGAAUAAGCACCGGCUAACUACGUGCCAGCCGCCGCUGUAA